UAGGGAAUCUUCCACAAUGGACGCAAGUCUGAUGGAGCAACGCCGCGUGAGUGAAGAAGGUUUUCGGAUCGUAAAGCUCUGUUGUUGGUGAAGAAGGAUAGAGGCAGUAACUGGUCUUUAUUUGACGGUAAUCAACCAGAAAGUCACGGCUAACUACGNGCCAG
rnacentral:rRNA from 1 species